CCUACGGGCGGCAGCAGUGGGGAAUAUUGGGCAAUGGAGGCAACUCUGACCCAGCAACGCCGCGUGAAUGAUGAAGGUCUUCGGAUUGUAAAGUUCUUUUCUAAGGGAAGAAGAAAGUGACGGUACCUUAGGAAUAAGCCUCGGCUAACUACGUGCCAGCAGCCGCGGUAAUACGUAGGUGGCAAGCGUUAUCCGGAUUUACUGGGUGUAAAGGGCGUGUAGGCGGGAGAGCAAGUCAGACGUGAAAUUCCAGGGCUCAACCCUGGAACUGCGUUUGAAACUGUUCUUCUUGAGUGAUGGAGAGGCAGGCGGAAUUCCGUGUGUAGCGGUGAAAUGCGUAGAUAUACGGAGGAACACCAGUGGCGAAGGCGGCCUGCUGGACAUUAACUGACGCUGAGGCGCGAAAGCGUGGGGAGCAAACAGGAUUAGAUACCCCGGUAGUC
rnacentral:rRNA from 1 species